rnacentral:rRNA from 1 species
GACGAACGCUGGCGGCGUGCUUAACACAUGCAAGUCGAACGGAAAGGCCCUGCGUUUGUGGGGUGCUCGAGUGGCGAACGGGUGAGUAACACGUGAGUAACCUGCCCUUGACUUUGGGAUAACUUCAGGAAACUGGGGCUAAUACCGGAUAGGAGCUCCUGCUGCAUGGUGGGGGUUGGAAAGUUUCGGCGGUUGGGGAUGGACUCGCGGCUUAUCAGCUUGUUGGUGGGGUAGUGGCUUACCAAGGCUUUGACGGGUAGCCGGCCUGAGAGGGUGACCGGCCACAUUGGGACUGGGAUACGGCCCAGACUCCUACGGGAGGCAGCAGUGGGGAAUAUUGCACAAUGGGCGGAAGCCUGAUGCAGCAACGCCGCGUGCGGGAUGACGGCCUUCGGGUUGUAAACCGCUUUCGCCUGUGACGAAGCGUGAGUGACGGUAAUGGGUAAAGAAGCACCGGCUAACUACGUG